CAAGUAUUAUAUGUAGGUUUGACUGUAAUUAGGAUAAUGUAUAAGUUUAUAUGUAGGUUUGACUGUAAUUAGGAUAAUGUAUAAGUUUUAGUCACAGAAACAAGUAUUAUAUGUAGGUUUGACUGUAAUUAGGAUAAUGUAUAAGUUUUAGUCACAGAAACAAGUAUUAUAUGUAGGUUUGACUGUAAUUAGGAUAAUGUAUAAGUUUUAGUCACAGAAACAAGUAACUUCAUGCAUCUAACUAACAACAUGCA